rnacentral:rRNA from 1 species
AGUGAACGCUGGCGGUAGGCCUAACACAUGCAAGUCGAACGGCAGCACAGUAAGAGCUUGCUCUUACGGGUGGCGAGUGGCGGACGGGUGAGGAAUACAUCGGAAUCUACUUUUUCGUGGGGGAUAACGUAGGGAAACUUACGCUAAUACCGCAUACGACCUACGGGUGAAAGCAGGGGAUCUUCGGACCUUGCGCGAUUGAAUGAGCCGAUGUCGGAUUAGCUAGUUGGCGGGGUAAAGGCCCACCAAGGCGACGAUCCGUAGCUGGUCUGAGAGGAUGAUCAGCCCCACUGGAACUGAGACACGGUCCAGACUCCUACGGGAGGCAGCAGUGGGAAAUAUUGGACAAUGGGCGCAAGCCUGAUCCAGCCAUACCGCGUGGGUGAAGAAGGCCUUCGGGUUGUAAAGCCCUUUUGUUGGGAAAGAAAAGCAGCAGGUUAAUACCCCGCUGUUCUGACGGUACCCAAAGAAUAAGCACCGGCUAACUUCGU